rnacentral:lncRNA from 1 species
GUGGUAUGCCUGAUCUAUUGUUAUGGAGCUUCCAUGAUGAUUACAGAGGCGAAGCCAAGCUUGUUGAAGUUAAAGGCCCCACGGAUCGUCUCUCCGAAUAGCAGAGAGCUUGGUUGAUGGUUCUUAUGGAUUGCGGUUUUAAUAUUGAGGUUUGCAAAGUGAGUCCUGCACCUAUAUCUGGUUGAAAGUCGUGUUAAUUGGGUGUAAGAUUAUUUGGGAGAUACUUCAUCGGAUAACGGAUACUAACCAAGAGUUAAAGGGGUCACCAUGCAAAUUCUGUUCCUUCUUUCCGGGAGAAGCUUUAAGAUGAGCUGUGGAACAAUUUUUAGAAAGUGAACGCAAAUACGUGGCUUUAAGUUUUCAUCACACUUCAAUCUCUUAGGAGGCAAUUCUCCUCAGGCUUUUGAUUGUUUCACUGGAAGCUGUUCCUUGAGAGAAAAUACAUCUUUCCGCACCAAACGAAGGUCAGCAGUCGUAAUAAUGGCAAUGGAAAUUCAAGUCUAGACUUGUUGAUCAUCAUAUUUGUUAUUUUAAACAGCAUAUUUAUCUAUAUGUAUGUCUCUUUUCAAUUUUUCUAUGUUUUUGAAACAUUGAAGAGUAACAGCUCACAUAUGAAGAAGGUUAACUAACUAAGAAUUGAGAAGUGCAGUUGGGUUUGCCAAAUAUCAUUAUUCAUCAUCAUGUGAGAUCGGCUAAGCCUUUGACUUGCGGUGGUUGGGGAGUUGAGUUUGCUUUUGCCAGUUUUAAGUACGCUAUGGGCUGUAAUUGUUUUUGGGGCUAUGCCACUUAGGUAUGCAGAUACCCGUGGUGUUUGUAAUAUUUUGUUUUCUCAACAAGAUAAAUACUUAUCGAUCAAAAAUCACGUACUAUUUGUAUUGUUUUCUCUUAUAUGUAGUUGAGUUUAUUAUAUAAUUUGUGCAGAAGACUCGUUCUGUAUAAACUCAACCCCCAUUGCUUACCACCACCCCACCUGCUCGCCACAACUCCCUACCUCCACUUUCCCUUCAGCUGCCACUGAACCUCACCCUCAUGUGUAGCCCUUACCACCAUCCACAAGCUUGCAACAGAGAGGAGAGAGAGAGAUCAUAUUGAGGUGGUAGUGCAACCCUGAAGGC